GAGCUGCUUCCGCGGCGA
rnacentral:snRNA from 1 species